rnacentral:rRNA from 1 species
UUUAGUUUGAUUCUGGCUCAGGAUGAACGCUGGCGGCGUGCCUAAUACAUGCAAGUCGAGCGAAUGGAUUAAGAGCUUGCUCUUAUGAAGUUAGCGGCGGACGGGUGAGUAACACGUGGGUAACCUGCCCAUAAGACUGGGAUAACUCCGGGAAACCGGGGCUAAUACCGGAUAACAUUUUGAACCGCAUGGUUCGAAAUUGAAAGGCGGCUUCGGCUGUCACUUAUGGAUGGACCCGCGUCGCAUUAGCUAGUUGGUGAGGUAACGGCUCACCAAGGCAACGAUGCGUAGCCGACCUGAGAGGGUGAUCGGCCACACUGGGACUGAGACACGGCCCAGACUCCUACGGGAGGCAGCAGUAGGGAAUCUUCCGCAAUGGACGAAAGUCUGACGGAGCAACGCCGCGUGAGUGAUGAAGGCUUUCGGGUCGUAAAACUCUGUUGUUAGGGAAGAACAAGUGCUAGUUGAAUAAGCUGGCACCUUGACGGUACCUAACCAGAAAGCCACGGCUAACUACGUGCCAGCAGCCGCGGUAAUACGUAGGUGGCAAGCGUUAUCCGGAAUUAUUGGGCGUAAAGCGCGCGCAGGUGGUUUCUUAAGUCUGAUGUGAAAGCCCACGGCUCAACCGUGGAGGGUCAUUGGAAACUGGGAGACUUGAGUGCAGAAGAGGAAAGUGGAAUUCCAUGUGUAGCGGUGAAAUGCGUAGAGAUAUGGAGGAACACCAGUGGCGAAGGCGACUUUCUGGUCUGUAACUGACACUGAGGCGCGAAAGCGUGGGGAGCAAACAGGAUUAGAU